rnacentral:tRNA from 1 species
AGUAGAGUCAGCUAAUAAAGCUAUCGGGCCCAUACCCCGAAAAUGAUGGUUCAACCUCAUCCUCCACUA